rnacentral:rRNA from 1 species
AAUUGACCAUCUUUUAAUCGUAGAUUUUGCCUUCGGGUACAAUUGAGACAGGUGGUGCAUGGUUGUCGUCAGCUCGUGUCGUGAGAUGUUGGGUUAAGUCCCGCAACGAGCGCAACCUUGUGUUUAGUUGCAAACAGGUCAAGCUGUGCACUCUAGACAGACUGCCGUGGACAACACGGAGGAAGGUGGGGAUGACGUCAAAUCAUCAUGCCCCUUAUGAUCUGGGCUACACACGUACUACAAUGGCCGGUACAACGGGCAGCGAAGGAGCGAUCCGGAGCGAAUCCUAAAAAGCCGGUCCCAGUUCGGAUUGCAGGCUGAAACUCGCCUACAUGAAGUUGGAGUUGCUAGUAAUCGCGAAUCAGAAUGUCGCGGUGAAUGCGUUCCCGGGUCUU